UGAGGGCUCCAGGUGACGGUGG
rnacentral:miRNA from 1 species